GACGAACGCUGGCGGCGUGCUUAACACAUGCAAGUCGAACGGAAAGGCCUGCUUUCCCUUGUGGAUUGCGGGUGCUCGAGUGGCGAACGGGUGAGUAACACGUGAGUGAUCUGCCCCCAACUUGGGUAUAAGCCUGGGAAACUGGGUCUAAUUCCCGAUAGGACUGCAGGGUGGUGCCUGUGGUGGAAAACGAUUUUCUAGUGGUUGGGGAUGAGCUCGCGGCCUAUCAGCUUGUUGGUGGGGUAAUGGCCUACCAAGGCGGCGACGGGUAGCCGGCCUGAGAGGGUGGAAGGCCACAUUGGGACUGAGAUACGGCCCAGACUCCUACGGGAGGCAGCAGUGGGGAAUAUUGCACAAUGGGCGGAAGCCUGAUGCAGCGACGCCGCGUGGGGGAUGACGGCCUUCGGGUUGUAAACUCCUUUCGACCGCGAGGAAGCCACCUGGUUGGAAGGGUGGUGACGGUAGUGGUAGAAGAAGCACCGGCUAACUACGUG
rnacentral:rRNA from 1 species